rnacentral:rRNA from 1 species
AGGACGAACGCUGGCGGCGUGCUUAACACAUGCAAGUCGAGCGGAAAGGCCCUUCGGGGUACUCGAGCGGCGAACGGGUGAGUAACACGUGAGCAACCUGCCCUUAGCUCCGGGAUAGCUCCGGGAAACCGGAAUUAAAUACCGGACAUGACUUAGGCCGACAUCGGCUGUGGUGGAAAGUUUUUCGGCUGGGGAUGGACUCGCGGCCUAUCAGCUUGUUGGUGGGGUAAUGGCCUACCAAGGCGACGAC